rnacentral:rRNA from 1 species
UACGGGGGGGGCAAGCGUUGUUCGGAAUUACUGGGCGUAAAGGGCUCGUAGGCGGCCAAUUAAGUCAGACGUGAAAUCCCUCGGCUUAACCGGGGAACUGCGUCUGAUACUGGAUGGCUUGAAUCCGGGAGAGGGAUGCGGAAUUCCAGGUGUAGCGGUGAAAUGCGUAGAUAUCUGGAGGAACACCGGUGGCGAAGGCGGCAUCCUGGACCAACACUGACGCUGAGUGAGCGAAAGCCAGGGGAGCAAACGGG